rnacentral:lncRNA from 1 species
UCCGUUUUCUCGUCAGAGGCCCCAGGCGACGCCAGGAGGUAAGAUUUACCUCACUGGUCAAGGGCAGCCUCUGGCCUGGACACCUGCGAUAGACAGACGCCUCCCCUGCUCACACCUGAAACACACCGCAAUGGCCGAGGACCAGUUACCGGUCGUCGACAGGCGUCCUCCACAACUCCUCCACAAGUGCGCUUCACCUGAGGUGGCCCCUUCUCCGCGACGCUUCUGAGAUUCGAUUUUUCCAAUUGCUUUCAAGUAUGGCGGCUUGCCUUCACCUUCAGUACCUAAUCCAGGAACUUGGUCUUCCACCUGCACCAUCUCUAAUCUGUGAAGCUGGAAGGUGAUGUUUUGUCAGCCCAGCAUCCCUCCCCUCCUUCCUUGGGUAAAAAUCUCCAUCCCUCUGGCUACAGAGGUGGGCACAGAGCCCAGAAUGAGCCAAUCACAGUAACUCAUCUCCCACCAGGAUUUUCUAUAUUGAAGCCAGAGAGGAAACUUCCUGCCUCUCUGGAGUAUGUGAGCCAGGAACUGCCAUGUCCUCACCAAGGAGAGAAAAGCUGAUGUGCAUAGAGAAGCACAGAUAGACAGUGCUGAGCAAUGGUUCAGGAAGAGUAUCUUCCUCCUGUACCCCUCUUUGUUUUUCCUUAAGAAGCUUGAGUUAGAUUUGUCCCUUGCAAUCCAAGUUUAUUUAGUGGCUAAAAAUUAAUUUUGUAGAGACUUGGGUGGAAAAGCUGUCUCUUAACUUAAUAGACCUGAG